AAAUGCAGUUCAAGGUACCAGUUGGGUUCAAUCUUUCAAGAUUUCACAGCUCUUGGACAUGGAGAUUUGUGCUGUCACAAUCAUACUCUUCAAACAAGGCGGCACCGAUUAACGGCAGUUAUUCCGGUGGGGGUGAUUUGAAAAAACGAAUUUUGAAGGUGGUUUCAUCGGGUGUGAACCCGACGAGGAGUGUGCUUGAGAAUUGGGUGGAUGAAGGCCGUAGAGU
rnacentral:misc_RNA from 1 species